rnacentral:rRNA from 1 species
UACGGGGGGGGCAAGCGUUGUUCGGAAUUACUGGGCGUAAAGGGCUCGUAGGCGGCCAACUAAGUCAGACGUGAAAUCCCCAGGCUCAACCUGGGAACUGCGUCUGAUACUGGAUGGCUUGAAUUCGGGAGAGGGAUGCAGAAUUCCAGGUGUAGCGGUGAAAUGCGUAGAUAUCUGGAGGAACACCAAUGGCGAAGGCAGCACUCUGGGACGUGACUGACGCUGAGACGCGAAAGCGUGGGGAGCAAACAGG